rnacentral:rRNA from 1 species
GUGAACGCUGGCGGUAGGCCUAACACAUGCAAGUCGAACGGCAGCACAGUAAGAGCUUGCUCUUACGGGUGGCGAGUGGCGGACGGGUGAGGAAUACAUCGGAAUCUACUUUUUCGUGGGGGAUAACGUAGGGAAACUUACGCUAAUACCGCAUACGACCUACGGGUGAAAGCAGGGGAUCUUCGGACCUUGCGCGAUUGAAUGAGCCGAUGUCGGAUUAGCUAGUUGGCGGGGUAAAGGCCCACCAAGGCGACGAUCCGUAGCUGGUCUGAGAGGAUGAUCAGCCACACUGGAACUGAGACACGGUCCAGACUCCUACGGGAGGCAGCAGUGGGGAAUAUUGGACAAAGGGCGCAAGCCUGAUCCAGCCAUACCGCGUGGGUGAAGAAGGCCUUCGGGUUGUAAAGCCCCUUUGUUGGGAAAGAAAAGCAGCAGGUUAAUACCCCGCUGUUCUGACGGUACCCAAAGAAUAAGCACCGGCUAACUUCGUG